rnacentral:lncRNA from 1 species
AUAAAAAAAAAAAAAAAAAAAAAAAAAGGAAGCAUGCACCUGGUUAAUUUGUUUCAGGCAUGCAGCUUUGCUUACAAAGCUGACUUACAAAGAUUACCAGCUGCCUGGGCGGCUGUAAGCCCGUGCAGCAUAGCGAGCACAGUGUUGUUUCUCCUUUGGAGGGUGCUCACAUUGAGUGGCAUAGAUGGGAUAUGUACUCUGUGCUGUCAGGAUGGGAGACUCAAUGAGGGGACCUGAUCUGGGCUACAGAAGAUAGGUGGGAAAAGCCACAGUAGUUCCAGGCAGAAAACCAAAUAGCACUGCAGUCUAUUCUGAGCCCUUCCCUUGUUCUCCUCCUCUUCUGCCUCCCCCUGCCUAGGUAUGACAAAUACUGUGCAGACCACUUCAAAGACAACCACUGUGACCAGGGAUGCAACAGUGAGGAGUGUGGCUGGGAUGGGUUGGACUGUGCUGCUGACCGGCCGGAGAACCUGGCAGAGGGGACCCUGGUUAUAGUGGUGCUCAUGCCCCCAGAGCAGCUUCUCCAGGAUGCCCGCAGCUUUUUGCGGGCACUGGGCACCCUGCUCCGUACCAACCUGCAGAUUAAACGGGACUCCCAGGGGGUACUCAUGGUCUACCCCUAUUAUGGUGAGAAGUCGGCUGCCAUGAAGAAGCAGAGGAUGAUACGCAGGUCCCUUCCUGGUGACCAAGAACAGGAGGUGGUUGGGUAGGUUUUUGGUUUCUGAACUUCUUAAAGUUUAUAAAGCUAAGUACUCUGACGCACAGAGGAAGUCAUAACUGAACCUAUAAGAAUGCAGAGCUCAGGCAAGUAGAACAGCCACCAAGUACAGUAAACCCGUGAUGCCAGUACGUAUGUUUAAGGGUAAGGUUUUCCUUGGUCUUGGUAUCCUGAAAGGCGGGCUGGAGCAAGCAGAAGGUGGGAUGUCAGGACAGCCUCCUCAAAUGCCAGAAUGUGUAACCUUUUGCCAGGGUUGCCUCAAAUCCCUUUACUACUGACCAUUCUUUUUAUGUUAAUCAUUGCGUUCUGUUCAAGGCCAUGCAUUUAUAACAGAAGGCUCUCUGUAAUAAUCUUGAAUUGUUCUGUCAUUGCACCCCACUAUUUGUUGCUGUAUCCCACAAGUUUCAACUGUAUAGCUACCUCAGAUGCAGAUGCAGAGACCACAGAGAAUAGGGACCCACCUGCUUUACCCAGUGUCCUCCCUUUGACUUGCGUUGCCUAAGUCAGAAGGCGCAAACUCAGCCAGACCAAGGAAGGUGAGACAUAGUCCGGUGGGAACUCGUAUUUAGGAUCUAAAAGGACAGGAUCUAAUUUCUGAGAUCUUUUGAUGGCCUCAUCACAGAGAUAGGAGAGCCCAGUGCUGAUGUGAGGAAGGAAGGCUCAUGCAGUCCUUUCUAACUUCACCUGCUUGACUGGCACCCUCUGUUUUACUCACCAUUUCCCCUUGGCAUCCUACAGCUCUAAGGUGUUUCUGGAAAUUGACAACCGCCAGUGUGUUCAAGAUUCAGACCAGUGUUUCAAGAACACGGAUGCAGCAGCAGCUCUUCUGGCCUCUCACGCCAUUCAGGGGACCUUGUCCUACCCUCUUGUGUCCGUCGUCAGUGAGUAGCACUGGUGUUAAAGGAAGAGUUUGGGGCAGGGGAGACGUCACUUGGGGCCAGUGAGAAAAGGGCACACUUUUCAGUGUGCAGCUCUGUUUUUCAGUGCCAGUGAGGUCAAUCAGUCGAUGCCCUCUAAAUGAAUUUUAUGCUAAGAUUGAGAGGUUUAUUCAGCACAUUCCCUGUCUCCCUGCACUUCCAGGUGAAUCUCUGACUCCAAAAGGUACUCAGCUUCUCUAUCUACUUGCUGUUGCCGUUGUCAUUAUCCUGUUUAUUAUCUUGCUGGGAGUUAUCAUGGCGAAACGAAAGCGUAAGCAUGGCUCCCUCUGGCUGCCUGAAGGUUUCACCCUUCGCCGAGACUCCAGCAAUCACAAGCGCCGUGAGCCAGUGGGACAGGAUGCCGUGGGGCUGAAGUAAGACGGUUUGCCAACACGCCACUAUUCACAGUAGUAAUAGCAGGGAUAGAGGAGAAAGGAAAUCUUGUUGAAUUAUGAUUUUAAAUUUCGAGCUCUGGCCACACCACAUUGUCACACCUAACCAUGAUUCUGAGUGCCUGCUGAGCGACUAUGAACUAACAGAGUCUGGAUGCUUCUAUUCUGUAUAUAUUAAAGCAGUGGUGCUUGGCUUAUAUGUUGAGGCACCCUUUUGUUGUAAGCUCUUGAUCCACAGGAAAGGAAAAGAUGUUUACUCGGGCAGUGGGAUGGAAAAUACUGCCCAUCCUUUGUGGGCCAAGGCUCCUGAAAGUCUUUGAGGAUAGCCAUGGAAAAAGUAUUGAAAACCACUAUAUGAGUUUAUGACAUAACCUCUGCUCUUGUUUUUCCCCUUCAUAAUCUUGUCCUAUCAGAAAUCUCUCAGUGCAAGUCUCAGAGGCUAACCUAAUUGGUUCUGGAACAAGUGAACAUUGGGUUGAUGAUGAAGGGCCCCAGCCAAAGAAAGCCAAGGUAAGCUGGCCAUGGUAGAUCCACUAUUAUCAGCCACUAUCUGGUCACAUCAAAUUUCUGUCCUUUGCUAUCUAGAGUGUCCUGAAUGGGUGAAAAGGGUGAUAGUCUUUAUGUGCUGCCCAGGCAAUGGCUACCCCAGGUUGUCAUGAAAGGCAAGAAUCAUUAGGUCAUUGAUGACCUUGGGUUACCUACAUAUGUGUUUCAGUAAGAACUCUUUAGAGGCGCCUGGGUGGCUCAGUCAGUUAAGCAUCUGACUCUUGAUUUCAGCUCAGGUCAUGAUCUCAUGGAGUUUGAGCCCCACAUCGGGCUCUAUGCUGGCGGUGUGGAGUCUGCUUGGGAGUCUCUCUCUCACUUUCUCUCUGCCCCUGCCCCAUUUGCAUGCACGUGCUCUCUCUCUCUCUCUCUCUCUGUCUCUCUAAAUAAAAAAAUAAAUAAACCUAAAAAAAUAACUCUUUAUUAAAAAUAAUAAAACAAACAUGAUUCCUUCCUUAAGAAUCAUGCUGAUGGUAGCUGAAUAAGGAAUGAUGUGUGUAAAUAGCAGUUUCCUUUAUGACUAGCUCUCCCCCUUAUCUUCUCUGGAUACUCCCCCUUCAGGAAGGAAGAAAGCCAAUGACCAUUGAGUUUGGAGGUUCUGCAUCUUGAGCGCAGGAAACUAGAACCAUAAAGUAAGAGGUAGAUUGGGCUGAAGCUGAUGUGAAAAGGGAGACAGUCCAUCCAUAGCUAUACAUGGCUGGGAUAUGCAUAUAUCCAUGAGUAUUCUAAAGCAGCUUGAGGGGAUGAAUGCUUGAGGAAUAUAGACAUGCAGUACAGCAUGAUGGUUCAGAACAUUGCUUAGUUACAAUCAGAACUGGAUUCAAGUCCAAAACUCUGCUAGUUAGUAGCUGGAAAACUUAACCUCUUUGUACCUCAUUAUCCUUAUCUGUAAAAUAGGGAGUUGUUUCAAAGAUUAAACAUAUAUGUGUGAAGCAUCUUACCCAUUUUCUAUCAUGUAGUAAAUAUUCAAUAAAAGUAGCUGCCUUUUAAAUUAUAGUAAUAGUUACUGCCCAGCAAAUAUUUUCUUGGGUGUUUGCUAUGUGCUGGGCAUUGUAUUAAGUACAGGGAGGUGAUAUUGAACAAGGCUUGUUUCCUGUUCUCAUGAACCUUACCUUCUCGUGGUAGAGACUGUUAUAUAGUGCCUUGUGAGCACUUAACACAGAGUCAGUUAAGUAGAGGUAAGCAGAGGGUAUUUUCGAACCCACAAGAGGAAUUAAAGUCCCGUUGUAUUUGAAGGGUAGGUAGGAGUUAGUCAGACAAAGAAUUGGGAAAAGAUACGGCAGGCACAGGGGACAACCCAGGCAGAAGUCCAGAAGCAAGGAAAUGGUGUUUUGGGGAUCUGUAUCUAGAUAGCGUAUUUGGUAGGUGAAAUAGAUGGUAUAUUAAGGCUGAAGCCUGGAGUUUGGAAUGGGGAGGUCGGGAGAGUGGUACAGAUGGCACAGGAGAGGAUGACAGGAAUCACAUCCGGCAGCAGCAGGAAGGCAGUGUGGAUGACACCCUGGCAGGUAGAAUAGGAGGAGACUACAACUGCCUCCUUGUCCGCAGCUCCUAAUGGUGGGCCAGGUCAACACAGAGCGUUGUUUUCUUGUCAGGCUGAAGAUGAGGCUUUGCUCUCAGAAGAAGAUGAUGCCAUUGAUCGACGUCCAUGGACACAGCAGCACCUUGAGGCUGCAGAUAUCCGCAGGACGCCAUCGCUGGCACUCACUCCUCCACAGGCAGAGCAGGAGGUGGAUGUGUUGGAUGUGAAUGUCCGUGGCCCAGGUCAGCACACACCCGCUUUCCAAACCUGCCCUGCCUGCCCUUGGCUCUGUGAUGUGCCUCGGUGAUCUGCCCCCUGCCAAUUGCACAGACUAAAUUAGCAUGAGGAAAUGAACACUCAGGGAAUACAGACAUGCAGAACAUGUAAACUUCUGUAAGAAGAGGGAAGGAUUUUAUAUUGCCUCACCUACAGCAUGCUUGGGAAUAGGUAGGCUGAUUACAUGGGAAAGAGUUUAGUGGGAUAGAGAAAUAAUAUCCCAAAGCAGAAGGAUAGAAAAUUACUUUAAUUGAUACCUUAGUGCAUAUUAUUGUUAAUACUGGAUAUUUUUAAAUGUUGCCCAAUUUAAAAUAACAUAGCACUUAGGAACUCAAACAGGAAGGCUUGCUUAACUUAGAGAAGAGCCCUAGCUUAAAAACACUCUUAUUUUCCCAUAAAGGGCAUUAUCUAUCAGAGGAAAAACAGGUGGCAAAUGUAAAACGAAUUGCCCAUUACCACAAGAAGCUCAGAAGGUUUUUUCCCCAUAAGAAUAACUUUAUUCAAACAGAACGCUUCCAGCCACUGGGUUCAUUGAACAUUAAUGUCCUUCUCCUCCUUAAAUAUUUUUUGGAAAAUUCCGUUCUUAUAGAUGGGUGCACCCCACUGAUGCUGGCUUCCCUCCGAGGAGGCAGCUCAGAUAUGAGUGAUGAAGAUGAAGAUGGAGAGGACUCUUCUGCCAACAUCAUCACAGACUUGGUCUACCAGGGUGCCAGCCUGCAGGCCCAGACAGACCGGACUGGUGAGAUGGCUCUGCACCUUGCAGCGCGCUACUCAAGGGCUGAUGCCGCCAAGCGUCUCCUGGAUGCAGGUGCAGACGCCAACGCCCAGGACAACAUGGGCCGCUGCCCUCUCCAUGCUGCAGUGGCAGCUGAUGCCCAGGGGGUCUUCCAGGUAAAGAACAGAGCUGAUUCCCUAUAGAUCUAUAAUGGUUUCUCUUUGCUAAGGCACUUAAUACCCAAUUAUGCUCCUUCGGUAAUUCUCUGAGAAAAUAGGACGGAUGGUGGAUCUGGUGGAUCCAGGAUGGUGGAGUCCUGCUUGUUGGAUGGGAAAGCAGGAAAAGAGCAGCAGAAAACUGACCUAACCAGAACAGCCAGGUAGCGACAGAGCUUACAGCAGAUCCCACCAGUUUUCUGAUUCUUCAUCGCUGUUCAUUUUGAUGUGCCAAAAUGCCUCCCAAAUGAAUAGAUCAGAUGGGAGUGAUACCUGUUAUGAAGUUCUUGACUAGUAUCAGCUUCUCCCUGUAGAUUUAUCUGGCCAUAUGGGCUGCUCCUUGGUGUUUUUUUUGACAUGAAUUCACUGUGUAUUCCUUUUAUUUUACCCUUGUGAGGAAACUGGAAGCAUUCUGAUUAAUCUUAAACUGUAUACACCACAACUGAGGUUAUGAUAUUUUCCCACUUACUCCUUUCUUUAGAAAGCAAAAGACAUCACUCUCCAUGAGAUGGCGUCCCCUAGCACCCUUUGUUCCUUCAUUCAUUCAUGCAUUCAUUUAGCAUUUAUUGAUUGAGGAUGAUAGAAUCAUGGGCACAAAGACAACAAGCAUUCCCUGCCCUCCAGGAACUUACAGGGUUGCCUCAGCUCUGAUGCUCUUGUUUCUUCUUUUAACUUCAUUAUUUUCUUUUAUCUAGUUGACUGUCUUUUCUGUACUUUCUCAUCUUGUAGAUUCUGAUCCGCAACCGAGUAACUGAUCUGGACGCCAGGAUGAACGAUGGCACUACACCACUGAUCCUGGCCGCCCGCCUGGCUGUGGAGGGAAUGGUGGCAGAACUGAUCAACUGCCAAGCAGAUGUGAAUGCAGUAGACGACCAUGGUAGGGCCGAGAGGCAGGGAGCCAGAUUCUCGCCUGCAAAGCAUGCCUCUAAGGGGGAAAAUCAUUAUGUGAUCUUUAAAGAACCAUCUCAGAUUUGAAUCCAAUGAAAUUCUAUCAUUCAUUUAUUCUUCUUUCAACAUUUUAAGUCCAGAGAACUAAGCCAGUGGGAAGUCCAUAGGCGAAGAUAGGAAGGGAUUUUUAGUGAGGGUUUUUGGAACCCAAAGCCAGUUUAUGAAAGGCUUGCCUCUGUAGGUUCCACUCUGGAUAUGAGGACUAGUGAGCUUGUCCUCACUAGGGAGGGAUUAUGAGCAACAUCUUAAAUAGACAUUCUGGUGUGAUAAGUAGAUAGAUUAUUGUCCUCAGUAUGGGAUUCUACCAUGUGGAAGACGUGGGUACCCUAGACAAAUGAUCUUUUUACCUACAUGUCUUUCUAAUGCUAGGCAGCCUGUAUUAAAGUAUUUCUAGAACAGGAAAAGGAAGAUAAUACUUUGGUUUUUUUCCACAGGCUGUCACUGACAACUGGCUUGCUUCUCUCUGGGAAGUUCAAGGUUUCCUUAUAUAAGUCAUGAUGCUUCCUUAUACUGGGAAGAGGACAUGUUCCUCUACUCUGUCUGCUUAUAAAAAUGUUUCUCCCUGCAGGAAAAUCCGCUCUUCACUGGGCAGCUGCUGUCAAUAACGUGGAGGCAACCCUUUUGCUGUUGAAAAACGGGGCCAACCGAGACAUGCAAGACAACAAGGUACAGUCUGGGCAGACCUAGCAGUGCCUCAGAUUACGAAGCCUUCCCUUUUCUCCUAUAGCUCCUCUUGUGAUGAGUAUAGACAAAGAGGGAGGCAGCGUGGACAACAGCUGGAUCCAAAGAGUUUGAGGGGAAGGUAUUGGGUUAUCCAGGGAUGUGUCAGGAGGCGAGUCCUCUGCCUACGCAGUACUCAGUCUGGAUCAGGCUGUCCUGUAAAUAACUUCAGUGUAGCCUUUUCUGCCUUUCUCUUUGACAUCGUCCUUUCUCCUGUUCUCUGUUCUCUUCAUGCUCACUUGCUUUUCUCUUGUUCUUAUUCAUUUUCUUUGCUGUGGCUCUUGUUUUCUGUUCUUGGACACCAUGGUAUUUUCCUGGUUGCUUUUCUUCCUCUGGGUUUUGGGUCAUACUUCUCUUCUCUUGUGUAUUUCCUCUUUUCUCUAAUUUUAAUUCUUUCUUAAACAUGUUUUGUUUCCUAUUGCUUCUGCUUCCCCUUAUUUUUCUGCUUUAGGUUCUUGCCCUCCUACUUCUCUUAUUUCUAAGAAGUCCUUUUCCUCUUAGAACCCUAUUUUGAUAAGCUCAGUGCUCUUUUAAGCAAAUCUCUGGCUCAGGAGAAUGCUUUAUUUCACACAUUCCCAACUAAGGAGACAUCACCCUCAAUGGGGCAAAAUUGAUUGUUGAGGAAGGGUAGAAUGAUCUUACUCUUUUUGUGUAUAAAACUACAGAUAUAUGGGGCACCUGGGUGGCUCGGUCAGGUAAGCGUCCAACUCUUGGUUUCAGCUCAGGUCAUGAACUCACUGUUCAUGAGUUUGAGCACUACGUUGGGCUCCAUGCUGACAGCACACAGCCUGCUUGGGAUUCUCUGUCUCCCUCUCUCUCUGCCCUGCCCCCCACCCAAUCUUUCAAAAUAAAUAAAUUUUUAUUUAUUUAUAUCUUUUUAAUUAUCUUUUUUACAUUUAUUUAUUUUUGAGAGACAGAGAGACAGAGCACUAGUCGGGGAGGGAUAGAGAGAGGAAGACACAGAAUCCUAAGCAGGCUCCAGGCUCUGAGCUGUCAGCACAGAGCCCGACGCAGGGCCCAAACUCACAAACCGUGAGAUCAUGACCUGAGCCGAAGUCAGACACUUAACUGACUGACCCACUCAGGCGCCCCAUAAAAAAAAAUUUUUUUUUUAAGCUACAGAUAUACAUUCAGUACCUAGGUAGAUAGACAUUUUAUCUGUGCUAGUAAAAUUUCAUAUGGGGAGGCAGUUAGGGAAAUAAUGUCUAAGGGGUUGAUAAUAACAAAAAGUUUGAGAAACACUGACAUAUGAUCAAAGGUGUUACUAAUUUUCAUGUGCUAUGUGGGUCUUUUCUGUAGGAAGAGACACCUCUGUUUCUUGCUGCCCGGGAGGGAAGCUAUGAAGCAGCCAAGAUCCUGUUAGACCAUUUUGCCAAUCGGGAUAUCACAGACCACAUGGAUCGUCUUCCCCGGGAUGUGGCUCGGGACCGCAUGCACCAUGACAUCGUGCGCCUCCUAGACGAGUACAAUGUGACACCGAGCCCUCCAGGCACUGUGCUGACUUCUGCCCUCUCACCUGUCAUCUGUGGGCCCAACAGAUCUUUCCUCAGCCUAAAGCACACCCCAAUGGGCAAGAAGCCUAGACGGCCCAAUACCAAGAGUGCCAUGCCCACUAGCCUCCCUAACCUUGCCAAGGAGGCCAAGGAUGCCAAGGGUAAUAGGAGGAAGAAGUCUCUGAGUGACAAGGGUCAGCUGUCUGAGAGUUCAGUGACUUUAUCCCCAGUUGAUUCCUUAGAGUCUCCUCACACAUAUGUUUCUGACACCACAUCCUCUCCAAUGAUUACAUCCCCUGGAAUCUUACAGGCCUCACCCAACCCUAUGUUGGCCACUGCUGCACCCCCUGCCCCAGUCCAUGCACAGCAUGCACUGUCUUUCUCUAACCUGCAUGAAAUGCAGCCUUUGGCUCACGGGGCCAACACUGUGCUUCCCUCAGUGAGCCAGCUGCUAUCCCACCACCACAUUGUUCCCCCAGGCAGUGGCAGUACGGGGAGCUUGGGCAGGCUCCAUCCAGUCACUGUUCCAGCAGAUUGGAUGAACCGCAUGGAGAUGAAUGAGACCCAGUACAAUGAGAUGUUUAGUAUGGUUCUGGCUCCAGCUGAGGGCACACACCCUGGCAUAGCUCCCCAGAGCAGACCACCUGAAGGGAAGCAUAUAACUACCCCUCGGGAGCCCUUGCCCCCCAUUGUGACUUUCCAGCUAAUCCCCAAAGGCAGUAUUUCCCAACCAGCAGGGACUCCCCAGCCUCAGUCCAACUGCCCCCCACCUGUUGCAGGCCCUGUGCCCACCAUGUACCAGAUUCCAGAAAUGGCUCGUUUGCCUAAUAUGGCUUUUCCCACUGCCAUGAUGCCCCAGCAGGAUGGGCAGGUUGCUCAGACCAUUCUCCCAGCCUAUCAUCCUUUCCCAGCCUCUGUGGGCAAGUAUCCCACACCACCUUCACAGCAUAGUUAUGCUUCCUCAAAUGCUGCUGAGCGAACACCCAGUCACAGUGGUCACCUCCAGGGUGAGCAUCCCUACCUGACACCAUCCCCAGAGUCUCCUGACCAGUGGUCAAGUUCAUCACCCCACUCUGCUUCUGACUGGUCAGAUGUGACCACCAGCCCUACCCCUGGGGGUGCUGGAGGAGGUCAGCGGGGACCUGGAACACACAUGUCUGAGCCACCGCGCAGCAACAUGCAGGUGUAUGCAUGAAAGAGUCUGCCUCCAGUGUAGGGACAGAACUGCCUAUUGUAAAUGCUGCUGAGGAACAAAUGAAGGUCAUCCGGGAGAGAAAUGAAGAAAUCUCUGGAAUCAGCUUCUGGAAGCAGGAGGAAGAAGAUGCUUUUAUCUUUUAGAUAAUGCAAGAAGCAAUUUUGUCAGCUUCACUGGGUAUCUGCAGGAUUUGGGGUGGGAGGAACAUGGUUCCUUUCAGUCUCUUACCCAUCAAGCCAAGUUUGUGGAAACUCAAGAUGAAUACAAGACUUGGGGCCACGUUUACUCUUUUCUCUUUGGAGAAAAGAAUGGAUGCCUGUUGUAGCCCAGACAUUCUUGCAGCCUGGACUGCAUUUUAAGCCCUGGGGGCUUCUGCCAUAUCCAUGAGAAGAUUUUACGUACAGUCCUGUUGGGAAUUGUACCUUGGAAUUCUGCCCAAGUUGACUUAUCUCAUCUUCUCUUACUUGGAAAUUCUUCUGACUUCAUUUGGUGCUUUAAUUUUUGCACCUCUCUGUGGUUGUACUCCCCCCACACCCCCAGCAUGGUAUAGGGCAACGUGCUUUUAAUCAUUCCUGCUCUGAAAAGCAAUUUCAGCCUCCUUUCCCCUCUUCUCCCAGUGUCCCCAGGAAUAUCACAGGGUUUGCUUCGGUUAUGGUUCUCAGCAUACACCUUUCAAGUAUGUUUCUUUAGAAAACAGAUUCAUUGCAGUCUCCUACAUAAUGUCAUUCCUAGAAGAGGAAGGGGAGCAAGACAUUUUUCUUUGAACCCAUUUUGGAGACAGAAGUCCUUUUCAAGAGACUGCACCUUAGUUCUCUUGCCUGCAUGCAGGGCUUUACGUAAACCUUACCAGGAAGAAGGAUAAGAAUUGGUUGUUUUCCCAUUUGUGGGCCUAGUCAGUGGGAAGUUUUAUCAUUGGCAGUGCAGGUACUAUGAGCCCCUUAAAACAAAUAAACAAACAAACAAGAAACAGACAAAGAUGUGGAAUGUUGGAAUGACCAAGAGAUAAGCUAACUCAUGUGAGAAGUGGUUAUCCACUUACAAGUCCCUUUCCUUCUCUCCCAGCAUUCCAUUGACGGCCUGUGCAAAACACAUUUGUUCCCAGAUCUCAGAACCCCUGGCCUACUUCACUCACUCAUCCAGCUGGGAAAGCUAGCCUUAGUUGUUGAGACUUUCCUUCCACAGAAGAAAAUGUCUCAAACGAUGCUUCCUCGCCACUCAGAGCUGAACUCUGUUUGGCUCGAGGGACCCCGUGCCAGCCGGGUUCCUUUUGCGGAGGGAUUGCAGUCUCUGCUUCCUGAGGCUGUUUCUGACCGCAGGCCUGCUCACCAGCCCUUCACUGUGCGUGCAGUCUGAGUUAUCGGUGCACCCAAGUAGGUUCUCACCGAACACAUGGAUUUUUCUGUGUUCAAGUGCAGGAAAUAGAAAGCUAACGUAGUUUUCUGGGAUCCAAGCCAGCCCUGUACAAAGGUUGGAACUAUGAGGCAGCCUUUGCUAUUUUUUGCUACCAUUCCUUUUGUUUUGAGGCAGUCGUGGCAUUCCCUUUCAGGCAACUAACAUAGAAACUUACUGUGGACAUUUUCCUUUCCCUGAGUUGCCUUGUAGAUAAUGAUGGACAAUUAAAGACUGUCUUUGUCAUUCUCAUGCUCAGAUUAUGGUUAUAUUUUACUUGAGUCGGCUCUCUGUAUUUGUGGUCUUGGCACCUUCUGUGACACUCUGUCAAGGGCAGAAGCAUUCUAGUCAACACUAGAAAUAGGAAUAUCGUUUUCUUCCUCUUGUCCCUGAGUCAUCCAAUAGUGGAUCCUGUGGCCACACUGUCAUCUCUGCCCGGUGCUGUGAUGUCAUGACACCUGGGAAACUAGUUCUGCUGGGGCAUUUUGUAGAUAAUAACAGGUGAAUUGCCUACUCUGUUUGAAUGGUAGUCUUCAUUACUGCCUUGGCUAGGAGUACCCGUCAGAGCAUUCCACUUAACGUGAUUUAUCUGUUUGUGGCCCUGUAUGGAACCCCUGAGUGUCUGUUAGCAUGGCAGUCUACAAAUUUUUUUUUUUAGUCCUGCCCAAGCUCAUCAACAGAAAUAAUUAGUACUGCCCCAGCAAACUGUAUUCUCUCACGUGGCAACUCUUACCAGCCCUUUCAUAGCAGGUAACAUUUUAUCUUCUGAACAGUGACUCUCUGUCCUUGGGCCCAUUUGUUAAUUCACAGAUGGGGAGAACCUCUCUGUGUGGGCCACUGUGGACCUCACCACAUCUGCCCCUGUCGUCCUGUUUCAUCCCCACUUCCUGAAAGUAUCAGCCUCUGACCCAACAUCUUGGAUCCUCUAUUGCCUCCUCCUUCCCCAGCCACAAUUUAGGCCUAACUUGCUUCUUUUUUCCUUCUUGGGAUCCUUUGGGUUUUGGGAAAGGGAAUGUGAAAGCUGCCAUUACAGACUACGGGCUUCAGUGAUGAGGAGGAAAACACUGCCUUUCAAGCAUUUAUCAAUCCCUUAGAUUUUAAGAACCCUUCAGUUGUAUAGUACCUAAUAAAAGUGAAGGUGAGAUGGAGAAUCACUUUCUUAUUUGGGUUCUGAAUUAGAGACUAAGUUUUAUAGGACACGUCUUUUAUGCCAUGUAUAGGUCACCCUCUCCCCAACUUUGGUUUUUAUUUUUAUAAAUUUUUCUUUUAACUCCUCUUCUGUCUGCCUUUGGGGAUAGACUCUUCUGUUUGUUUCUUCUGUUUUGUGUUAAGCAUCAUUUUCUGACUUACAUGAUGGUGAGGGAGAGAAACGUGUAAAAGAGAGUUAAAGACUUUGAUGUAAGCAGUCAGCCAUGAUGCUCAAGCCUGCUAUACCAUCUUAUUACGGUCGCUGGUACACAGUUCUGGCAUAGAAAAGAACCAAAGGUAUAAUAUUUUGUGGGCAGGCAGUUUGGAUUUUAACCAACACAUUGAAUGUAUGAUGACUAUUUGAGAGGACACAACUAUAUGACCUGACGCUCCCACUUGUAACUGGUACUACGGCUCCUUCCUUGUGUACAUUUCUCUUAAAAGUGAUACUAUAUGUUUGUAUGAGAAACCCAGUAACCAGAAAAAUGACUGCAUAUUCCUAACUAUACAUAGUAAGGAAAAUGCAAACUGUUUUUACUUUUCAAAUUUUCAUUCUAAAGUAGUUAAGAUGAAAUUUAUAUGAAAGCAUUUUUAUCACAAAAUAAAAAAAGAUUACAUGUCAAGCUCUGUGACAUUGCAGUUUUUAUUUUCCAUUCCAGCGUCCCUGGUCUUGCAGUGACCUCCCUUGUGAUGUCAUGAUAGGCUGAGAAUGAAAUAAUUUUCUCUUCAUUCUGAAUCCCACAAAGCCAAGCACUAGGCUUCUUUUUUUCAUUCUCCCAAGCAGAUUGCAAAUAAGUGCUUUUGAGGAAAAACUUCUGUCAAAUAGGAAACACCACAAGACAGUCACUUUUCUGUGCAGUAGUUAGUGGCAAACAGACACUUACUGAGGACAAGGUACCUUCCAGUGGAAAUGGGGAGUGUUUGCCAAGGCCAGAAUUGAAAAGUGGGAUGUAACUGAUAAUAUUGAUAGUGCUGUUACCUAAACCAUUAGUUUUCAAUAUUAUUCCUCAAAUUAAAUUUGUAUAGAACUUGUCGCAGGGAGUAUGGCCAGAGUCGCAAAAGAAGAGUCCGCAAACAAAAUGCGGUUAAGUGAAGGUCCUCAUACUUGAGUCGGAAUGAGGCCCUGACUCCAGAAUGAAGCUUCUUUUUAUUAGGACAAUUGCUAAAGACUAUGUGCAUAAAGUCAGCUAAGCAAGUGUGUUAAUCAAUCUAAUGGUUUAGCUUUUCAAGGUUGAAUUUCGAGUUAAUUGGUUUCUGUAACACUAGGAAGGGUCAGGUGUGAAGGAGGAUCCAGCCCUGGACUAUGUUAAUGGCUCUAGGUGUCCCUUACCAGCCGCAGCCUCAUUCAGCUGUGUAAACAUGUCCUAAGGCCUUGCACCUUCUCCAGCCCUUCCCUUUGAAGUCUCUUCCUUGGAUGCUUCUCUCCUGCAUCUCCCACAGAACUUUAUACAAUUCUAAAGUAGUAUUUUGCCUAUAAAUAUGUUACCAAGUUCCUUUAUACAUUUACUUGUGAAAGUCCAUCAGGGAGACGUUUGAACACAAAUAUUUGACAUUGGUGAUGCUUAUGUCAUGACCAGUCUUGUGUCAACUUCAGCAUUGAGUUUAUUUCCAUAUUCUGUUAGUUUUGCAGAACUUUUUUUUUUCUUCAAGUUUCUUUCUUUUUGAGAGAGAGAGGGAGAGGGAGACACAGAAUCCAAAGCAGUCUCCAGGCUCUGACCUGUCAGCACAGAGCCCAAGGCAAGGCCCAACCUCAUGAACCGCGAGAUCAUGACCUGAGCUGAAGUCAGAUGCUUAACGGACAGCCACCCAGGCACCCCUGCUUGGGUGCAGAAACUUUGCAGAAACUUUGAAUCAUACAUAUAUAAUUCUAAAUGUUAGAAAUACUUGCUUAAAUGACUGGAAAUCUUAGGAUAUGCUUCAAUUGAAUAGAUGAAGGAGGUUUAUUCAAAAUCUGCACAAAUAUAUUUUAACACAACUGACAGCACAUAUUGGUUAGCCUGACAGCUUUCUAAUUUCAUAUAAAACAUUUGAGUCUUCAUGUUAGGCUUUGUAAUGGCAUAACAGGAAAAUGAACUUGAGAGCUAAGGAAUGAUUUGCCUAAGUCUGGUCCUCUGCAGGCUGGCAUCUCAGAGCUGGACUGGUCUCUUCAGACUAUUUAGGAGCUAACUUGCUGGAAACCUGCUUUCUGGAUCUGAGCUGCAGGCCACUAGCUUGCUCUCCACAUCCUACCACUGCAAUCGCAAGCCUAGAAACCUCACCCUUGAUUGUGGCGGGGGGAUCCAGGGCUCUCCCAACUAUAUCUCCAAAGAGGGAGGGCAGGGCUGGAGGCCAAGGCCUGCCACAUCACACAGCUGGGACAGUAGACUUGGACACCAGGCCACAGUCAGGCCAGGGGUGAGACUGGUGCUUCCCUCAGUCCCACAGCUAAGAAGCCUCAUAGCCCAAGGAGAGGGGGCUGAGUUCCCCUUUCAGAGCAUGACGAAUACAACAACCAUCCUUAAUGCCUGCACACAGUCCAGGAUGUGAUGGGCAAUGGGAGAACUGAGCUCCUUUACUGCCUCUGCUUCUGCAAGCUCUCCCAAUACACACUGCCCUGGGCCAGCAGGGCUCGAUCUCCUCAUCUGCCUGACCGUAUUUUAAAAAUGAAAUGACCCCUUUCACGAAGAUGGCGCCAAAGGUGAAAAAGGAAGCCCCUGCCCCUCCCAAAGCCAAAGCCAAAGCUUUGAAGGCCAAGAAAGUAGUGCUGAAAGGCAUCCAUAGUCAUAAAAAAAAAAGAUCCGCACAUCACCUACAUUCCGACGGCCCAAGGUACUGCAUCUCCGAAGGCAGCCCAAAUAUCCUCAAAAGAGUGCCUCUCCGAGAAACAAGCUUUACCACUAUGCCAUCAUCAAGUUCCCCCUGACUGCGGAGUCAGCCAUGAAAAGAACAGAAGACAACAACACACUUGGGUUCAUUGUGGAUGCCAAGGCCAAUAAGCACCAGAUCAAACAGGCUGUGAAGAAGCUCUAUGACAUUGACAUGGCCAAGGUCAACACUCUGAUCAGGCCCGAUGGAGGAAAGAAAGCAUAUGUUUGAUUGGCUCCCGACUAUGAUGCUUUGGAUGUUGCCAACAAAAUUGGGAUCAUCUAAACUGAGUCCAGCUGGCUAAAUCUAAAUAUAAAAGUUUUCACCAUAAAAAAAUAAA